rnacentral:rRNA from 1 species
GGGUCAUUCCACGGGUCCGUGCCGCAGCUAACGCAUUAAGCGCCCCGCCUGGGGAGUACGGCCGCAAGGCUAAAACUCAAAGGAAUUGACGGGGGCCCGCACAAGCGGCGGAGCAUGCGGAUUAAUUCGAUGCAACGCGAAGAACCUUACCAAGGCUUGACAUACGCCGGAAACAUCCAGAGAUGGGUGCCCCGCAAGGUCGGUGUACAGGUGGUGCAUGGUUGUCGUCAGCUCGUGUCGUGAGAUGUUGGGUUAAGUCCCGCAACGAGCGCAACCCUCGUUCUAUGUUGCCAGCGGGUCAUGCCGGGGACUCAUAGGAGACUGCCGGGGUCAACUCGGAGGAAGGUGGGGAUGACGUCAAAUCAUCAUGCCCCUUACGUCUUGGGCUUCACGCAUGCUACAAUGGCGGGUACAGAGGGCUGCGAAACCGUGAGGUGGAGCGAAUCCCUUAAAGCUGGUCUCAGUUCGGAUUGGGGUCUGCAACUCGACCCCAUGAAGUCGGAGUCGCUAGUAAUCGCAGAUCAGCAACGCUGCGGUGAAUACGUUCCCGGGCCUUGUACACUCCGCC